rnacentral:tRNA from 1 species
UCCUUGUUGGUCUAGUGGUCAUGAUUUCCGCUUGUCAUGAUUAAAUAGACCGGGGUUCGAUUCCCCGACAGGGAG